AGUGAACGCUGGCGGUAGGCCUAACACAUGCAAGUCGAACGGCAGCACAGUAAGAGCUUGCUCUUACGGGUGGCGGGUGGCGGACGGGUGAGGAAUACAUCGGAAUCUACUUUUUCGUGGGGGAUAACGUAGGGAAACUUACGCUAAUACCGCAUACGACCUACGGGUGAAAGCAGGGGAUCUUCGGACCUUGCGCGAUUGAAUGAGCCGAUGUCGGAUUAGCUAGUUGGCGGGGUAAAGGCCCACCAAGGCGACGAUCCGUAGCUGGUCUGAGAGGAUGAUCAGCCACACUGGAACUGAGACACGGUCCAGACUCCUACGGGAGGCAGCAGUGGGGAAUAUUGGACAAUGGGCGCAAGCCUGAUCCAGCCAUACCGCGUGGGUGAAGAAGGCCUUCGGGUUGUAAAGCCCUUUUGUCGGGAAAGAAAAGCAGCAGGUUAAUACCCCGCUGUUCUGACGGUACCCAAAGAAUAAGCACCGGCUAACUUCGUG
rnacentral:rRNA from 1 species